rfam:Triticum aestivum genome assembly, contig: Triticum_aestivum_CS42_TGACv1_scaffold_290954_4AL
UAUCUACUCCCUCCGUUCCAAAUUACUUGUCUUAGAUUUGUCUAGAUACGGAGGUAUCUAGCACUAAAAUGAGUCUAGAAUCAUCCGUAUCUAGACAAAUCCAAGACAAGUAAUUCAGAACGGAGGGAGUAUGGU